AUUGAACGCUGGCUGCAGGCCUAACACAUGCAAGUCGAACGAGUGGCGGACGGGUGAGUAAUUUCUGGGAAACUGCCUUAUGGAGGGGUAUCACUACUGGAAAGGGUAGCUAAUCCCGCAUACCCUCAUAUGUUCCCAUAUGGGAUUAGCUAGUUGGUGGGGUAACGGCUCCCCAAGGCGACGAUCCCUAGCUGGUCUGAGAGGAUGACCAGCCACACUGUGACGGAGACACGGACCAGAAUCCUACGGGAGGCAGCAGUGGGGAAUAUUGCACAAUGGGCGCAAGCCUGAUGCAGCCAUGCCGCGUGUAUGAAGAAGGCCUUCGGGUUGUAAAGUACUUUCAGUGGGGAGGCGUUACCGGAAGAAGAAGCACCGGCUAACUCCGUGCCAGCAGCCGCGGUAAUUC
rnacentral:rRNA from 1 species